rnacentral:rRNA from 1 species
CUACGUGCCAGCAGCCGCGGUAAUACGUAGGGGGCAAGCGUUAUCCGGAAUUAUUGGGCGUAAAGAGUGCGUAGGUGGUUACCUAAGCGCAAGGUUUAAUUUAGAGGCUCAACCUCUACUUGCCUUGCGAACUGGGCUACUUGAGUGCAGGAGGGGAAAGCGGAAUUCCUAGUGUAGCGGUGAAAUGCGUAGAUAUUAGGAGGAACACCAGCGGCGAAGGCGGCUUUCUGGACUGUAACUGACACUGAGGCACGAAAGCGUGGGUAGCAAACAGGAUUAGAUACCCUGGUAGUCCAUGCCGUAAACGAUGAGCACUAGGUGUUGGGCCCGUUAGGGCUCAGUGCCGCAGUUAACGCAAUAAGUGCUCCGCCUGGGGAGUACGCUCGCAAGAGUAAAACUCAAAGGAAUUGACGGGGACCCGCACAAGCAGCGGAGCAUGUGGUUUAAUUCGAAGCAACGCGAAGAACCUUACCAGGGCUUGACAUCCUGCUGAC